rnacentral:misc_RNA from 1 species
GCACAAACAGAUGACAAAUCAACAAGAAUGAAACAGAAUUAAGAGGCCACUCGAUACAUUUUUCCUCUUUUGUAAACCCAUGACAUAAUAAAUAAAUUAAAUAGGUUUAGUAGCACAAUGAAAUAAAUUAACAAAAAAAAAAAAACUCAUAAUAAAUUUAAAAGGAAAUAUAUUCCCUAGGAACACGUUCCAAACCAAAACCAUGAGUCAUGAAUCCUGAGAAGUAUAAAGCUGUACAAGCCUAGGCCAACUUUGACCAUAAACAUCCUUCUUGCUAUAUCGCUGGUCCCAGGACCAAGGAACAUCUGCAGAUGGGAUUAAGAAGAGUCAUACCAAUAUCAGAAGUGAAGAACACGGCAACAAUGGCGAAAAAUAAACACCUUCAGAGGAGUAUGGUUGAGGAGGUAGCUCAUAAGGCACCGGCAGUGGAAUCACUUCAGAUGAUGAAUCUACAGUUCCUUGCCACAUCAAAGUCACUAGUUUCGUCCUCAGCUCUUCAGAAUCUGCUAGUAAUCCACAUUUAUUCUGAAACCCAAACAAGCCAGCAUUUUUCUUCCUUACAUAAUCUCAUGUCAAGUGACACUCCUAAAUAUAUCAAACACGCAUAUAAAUGACAAAAAGGCCAGGAUGCAGCCACUACCUCUGAUGGAACUCCAUUGUCUGUGCAAGAAAAUCGAAGACCAUGUCUUUUACAGUGAGAUGGUAAAAAUAGCACCCCCAGCUGAGGUAAAUCACACAAGACGAGUAAAGGUUUCAAUGCUUUCAGUGUAGCAAAAAGCAGGAAACAUCAAGUGUGUGAAUAGGCAAACUGUUAAAAGAAUCCAAACAAAGAAAGUUUUCUUUUGUCGUCUGUCUAUAAUUUUCUGUAUCUCAUUCAAGCAGAAAAUGGUAUUUAGUUGAUAUUGCACAUUAAUUUUAGCGAUAAUUACACCCAGCACCCUAAACUUUGGGGGUUAUAACAAAUUGAACCUCACUCUUUUAAAGUUACAAUGUCAAUUCAGGUUCUCUUGCAUGCUUCAUUUUAAUAUGCAUACCUCAUAGGAACGAAUCAUCAACUGAGAAUUAUUCUUCUGCAAGGCCCCCCAGGCUGCUUUGCUUAGAUUUGCUGAAGUUAGCAAGAACCAACUGUUUGAACAAAUACAUAUUCAGGUUCAACAAUCAAAACUGGCAUGUAUCUAGGAGUAAUAUGAGUUUCCUAUUGGCCUAGAUAACAAUCUAACAAGAAUAUUGAACACACAAGAACCUAAUACAGUGAUAUUUAAUUCAUCAGAAAGUAAGACUUACGCAAGUUUCUGACCAUUAUAACGAGUGAAUGUCUUUAUAUGCGGCAUCGCACGACUAAAAAAUUAAAGAGCAGAGUUUAAGCAUCAAACCCAGGCACACGUGCAUAUUAGAGUAUAAGAUAAAUCCAAUUUGAUUUUGUAAUCCAAGAUUAAAAAGGAAUUCCAUGGAUAUAUACCAGCGGCCAGUGUGGUUAGCCUUCCAUUUUGACCAAUACUUUCUCAAAAAUUCUUUCUCCACAUUCUUUAAUGGGCUUGGGAUGGCAUUUCCAGCUGCAUAGCCCUCUAAAGAGCAUCUGACAUCUUCUACAGUAGGCCAUAUUAUUUGAGGCUCUCCAAGACCAAGAGGUGUUUUGUCAUCUGAGAAUCCAGAAGACAUUGAGGUAGCCAGCUCAGUCAUCCACUUUUGAUCUAGUGAACCAAGGGAAGAGAACUGAUAGGCAAGAGGAGAAUUUUUAAACUCCUUUCCAAAGGUGCAUUCCUGGAGAACACUCCGUAGCUUCAUAUGUCCCCACCUUUUCAGGUUGGCACCAGUAUGAUAUCCAGGAACAGAUGCUAUUAACCUAACUGCUGCAUUGCUAUAAUCAAACUUUUUGAAAAAGGUUGGGUUGAUAGUGAAGUUCCCAAGGGCUGGUAACUUAACGGUGAAUUCUGGCCACUUUAAUGCAUUGAGAUAAUCAACCAAGUCAUUUUCAAAUCCACAUCCUUUGCUUUGAUUCUGUUUAUCCUUCCAGGGGAAAUCUUGCAUCCACAAACCUUGGCUUUUGUUGUUCCAGUCAACAUAUAUUAAGUUUGCUGUAUGUAUAAUAAUUCUCACCCCUCGAGGAUAGACUAGAAGCAUGGCCUUUGAAUGGUGUGUCCCAAAUGAAAUGGGUAGUGGGGGUUUAUGCAGAAUCCAACUUGCAGGCUUGCUUCUCUUCAUAUGUUCAACUGUACCGUCACCCUCUCCAUGAAUAACCAAGACAUGACGAAUUUUCGCAAGUGUAGGGCAUGCUUCAUGAGAGAAAAGCAAGGUAAGGAAAAAAAAAAUUAAAGGAAAGUCAGAAUUCCAAGAAUGUGAUAUGAUUGGAAGGAACAAAGCCAAAAACACAACCAGCAAUUAGCCUGUGCUUACAAGCUGAUAAAUGAUACCACAGCAUAAGUUUACAACUGCACCAAGACCGUUAUGACUAAAGAAAUCAUGGCUGUUAGUGCAAGCACAGUAUAACUAGAAGAAAAUGAUCUACAAUGGGCAAAGUGCUAAAAGGUUUGGCAAUACAUGACAGUGAAGCAGAACAAGAAUCCAUUAUUCCAUUACCUAAAUCUACUAGUAACCUUGGAAAUUGCAAUUUUACCUAUAGAACUACCAUUAAUUACUGGACCUCUACUUAGAAAUGAUGGAUUACCUAACCAUGCUGAUGUGCAUACAUUCACAAAUGCGUAUCCCUGUGUACAAAUGAAACACUCAUCAAAGCCAGCAAUAGAAUGCAAAUGGUUUAUCUGAAUCCUUGGCUCCUCUCUCACCAGCAGACAUCAACCAAUCAACGUCCACCAUGUAGUUUGAAAGGAUAGCAACAAGAAUAUCCCCCUGAAUCACAUCGGUUAUAGAAACGCAAGAGGUAUUUGCCCAAGCUGGCAGCCCUUGCACUUUCAAAAGCCGGAAGGUCAAUGGCAAAUUAUCAUUAGGAACACGAAAUUUACGAAUGUCCUUUUCACAAAUUACUGGUCCACUAUUCUCUGCCUCAUUCUUAUUAGCAGCUUUGGCUUGAUCUUCAGGUGCUUCUCGCAUCUU